UUUCAGUUUGCCUCUGCAAUUUUGAACUCAUGCUGUGGUCCUCGUGUUUAUCUUUAAUAUAACCUUCCAGUGUAAGUGUUGGAGAAUGACUUGGCUUACUCUACCUACAGUGCUGUUGUUGGUGAAUUUGUGUGUGUCGUCUGCCCAGGAUGGAGCGAACGACACCAUACAGGUCUUUUACAAACAAAAAACCCUCACUCCUGCCAGAGGCUCAUCGGUCAAACUAUCAUGUGAGGCACAUUAUGACUUCGAGAAAUGCAGACUGCUGCAGGUUGUUUGGUGUAAGCAAGGUGUCGAGCUGACGGACCCCAGCAAGUACUUCACCACAGUAAACGAGACAAUCUCUGAUGAAAACAAGACAUACAGACGCAGACAGGUUGUGACAGAGAUUCUCGACCUGACAUCAAAGGACAACGGUGACAUUUCAAUGCAAGGCCUCAUGUGACAGUGACACAGCAAUGGGACAUUUCAUCUGGAUCAGUGUCAAAGACUGAUCAUCUGACCGAGACGGCUCCUUUCACAAAGGAUUAAAAUGGAUUAAAACAAGAUGAGUGCAUCAGGCUGCAUUCUCCAAAAGCAUCUUGAGAGAAAUGUAUGCUGUAUUCUAAGUCUAUAGAAUAAAUUGAACAAAGGUUUA